CGAAGCGUGCGAUUGGAUUGCACGUCUAAGCAGUAAGGCUGAGUAUUAGGCAAAUCCGGUACUCGUUAAGGCUGAGCUGUGAUGGGGAGAAGACAUUGUGUCUUCGAGUCGUUGAUUUCACACUGCCGAGAAAAGCCUCUAGAUAGAAAAUAGGUGCCCGUACCGCAAACCGACACAGGUAGUCAAGAUGAGAAUUCUAAGGUGAGCGAGCGAACUCUCGUUAAGGAACUCGGCAAAAUGACCCCGUAACUUCGGGAGAAGGGGUGCUCUUUAGGGUUAACGCCCAGAAGAGCCGCAGUGAAUAGGCCCAAGCGACUGUUUAUCAAAAACACAGGUCUCUGCUAAACCGUAAGGUGAUGUAUAGGGGCUGACGCCUGCCCGGUGCUGGAAGGUUAAGAGGAGUGGUUAGCUUCUGCGAAGCUACGAAUCGAAGCCCCAGUAAACGGCGGCCGUAACUAUAACGGUCCUAAGGUAGCGAAAUUCCUUGUCGGGUAAGUUCCGACCCGCACGAAAGGCGUAACGAUUUGGGCACUGUCUCAACGAGAGACUCGGUGAAAUCAUAGUACCUGUGAAGAUGCAGGUUACCCGCGACAGGACGGAAAGACCCCGUGGAGCUUUACUGUAGCCUGAUAUUGAAAUUCGGCACAGCUUGUACAGGAUAGGUAGGAGCCUUUGAAACGUGAGCGCUAGCUUACGUGGAGGCGCUGGUGGGAUACUACCCUAGCUGUGUUGGCUUUCUAACCCGCACCACUUAUCGUG
rnacentral:rRNA from 1 species